GACUGGAAUUCCUGGUGUAGCGGUGAAAUGCGCAGAUAUCAGGAGGAACACCGAUGGCGAAGGCAGGUCUCUGGGCAUUUACUGACGCUGAGGAGCGAAAGCAUGGGGAGCGAACAGGAUUAGAURCCCUGGUAGUCCAUGCCGUAAACGUUGGGCACUAGGUGUGGGGGACAUUCCACGUU
rnacentral:rRNA from 1 species